GGGGAUGUAGCUCAGCGGUAGAGCGUGCGCUUUGCAUGCGCAAGGUCCGGGGUUCGAGACCCCGCAUCUCCA
rnacentral:tRNA from 1 species